rnacentral:rRNA from 1 species
CCGGGUUGAACUUACCCAACCCUAGAGGGGACGAACUACCCGUCCGAAGGUGGCUCAUGAUUGGGGUG